rnacentral:rRNA from 1 species
UACAGGGGGUGCAAACGUUUGCUCGGAAUUAUUGGGCGUAAAGCGCGCGUAGGCGGCUAUUUAAGUCGGAUGUGAAAGCCCCUGGCUCAACUGGGGAAGUGCACCCGAAACUGAAUGGCUUGAGUGCAAAAGAGGGCCGCGGAAUUCCCGGUGUAGAGGUGAAAUUCGUAGAUAUCGGGAGGAACACCGGUGGCGAAGGCGGCGGCCUGGGUUGACACUGACGCUGAGGCGCGAAAGCGUGGGGAGCAAACAGGG